rnacentral:rRNA from 1 species
GCACCUCGAUGUCGGCUCAUCACAUCCUGGGGCUGAAGUCGGUCCCAAGGGUAUGGCUGUUCGCCAUUUAAAGUGGUACGCGAGCUGGGUUUAGAACGUCGUGAGACAGUUCGGUCCCUAUCUGCCGUGGGCGUUGGAAGAUUGAAGGGGGCUGCUCCUAGUACGAGAGGACCGGAGUGGACGAACCUCUGGUGUUCGGGUUGUGUCGCCAGACGCAUUGCCCGGUAGCUAAGUUCGGAAUCGAUAACCGCUGAAAGCAUCUAAGCGGGAAGCGAGCCCUGAGAUGAGUCUUCCCUGAUACUUUAAGUAUCCUAAAGGGUUGUUCGAGACUAGAACGUUGAUAGGCAGGGUGUGUAAGCGUUGUGAGGCGUUGAGCUAACCUGUACUAAUUGCCCGUGAGGCUUAACCAU